ACAGCAGCAGCCGCGGUAAAACGGAGGAUCCAAGCGUUAUCCGGAAUCAUUGGGUUUAAAGGGUCCGUAGGCGGUCUUGUAAGUCAGUGGUGAAAGCCCAUCGCUCAACGGUGGAACGGCCAUUGAUACUGCAGGACUUGAAUUAUUGGGAAGUAACUAGAAUAUGUAGUGUAGCGGUGAAAUGCUUAGAGAUUACAUGGAAUACCAAUUGCGAAGGCAGGUUACUACCAAUUGAUUGACGCUGAUGGACGAAAGCGUGGGUAGCGAACAGGAUUAGAUACCCGUGUAGUCCCUGUCUCUUAUAC
rnacentral:rRNA from 1 species